rnacentral:misc_RNA from 1 species
GAUGAAGAACGUAGCGAAAUGCGAUAAGUAGUGUGAAUUGCAGAAUUCAGUGAAUCAUCGAAUCUUUGAACGCACAUUGCGCCCUUUGGUAUUCCUUAGGGCAUGCCUGUUCGAGCGUCAUUUAAACCUUCAAGCUCAGCUUGGUGUUGGGUGACUGUCCGCUUCACCGCGGACUCGCCUCAAAAUUAUUGGCGGCCGGUACAUUGGCUUCGAGCGCAGCAGAAACGCGAACUCGGGCCCGUCGUAUUGGCUCCCAGAAGCUAUCUUCACAAUUUUGACCUCGGAUCAGGUAGGGAUAACCGCUGAACUUAAGCAUAUCAAUAAGCGGAGGA